GGAUGCGAUCAUACCAGCACUAUACCACCGGAUCCCAUCAGAACACCAAAGUUAAGUGUGCUUGGGCGAGUUAAGUGUGCUUGGGCGAGAGUA
rnacentral:rRNA from 1 species